UGGUGAUUACUACAGCUGAGGGGAGACUUGCCAGGUUUGUGUGGCAGCUGUGUCAGUGUGCUCUGAAGUCACUACAGGAACAGGAGUUCGGGAGCUUCCUGGAGGAAGCCUCCAUGAGAGCAACAGAAAGUGUGUGUUUUAGGAGUAAAAUAAACUAGGCUUAUGAGGGAAGCUAGCUUUUCCAAGGAAAUGAUUUCCAUGGAGAGGUUUCUUGAUGCAAGAACUUUGUGAGCCCUUGCUCAGAAGCAGAGGAAGUGCCCAAAGGCUGUGAAUGAAACUGCUGAACAUUUCACAGAUACUGCAAGGGGCAACUUCUGCCCCAUGCAGUUUACAGAAAAAAAAAUAAGCAAGACAGCCAAAAGCAGGAGGCAAUAACCAAGAGAGGGAUUUGGCAUGAAAUCUGCUGCAAGAACAUGCAAAUGUGGGAAGGAACAGAGAGCUCUGCUGCUGCAGAUUUCUGUCAGGGUUAGUGAAUACUGCUGUGCUGGAGCGCAGCUGUGAGGAUUGGAGCCGGCUGCCACGGAACUGGUCAUGGUAAGAAAUGCUUGUGUGAGGAGUUCAGCAAGAUUUCUAUAUUCAGGACUUCUUCUUUCAUGAUCUACUACUAUUUUCUGCAAAGUUUCAAGUAAUUUGCUUUUCUGAAUCAAGCUAUAAAGCUUUUAACUAUAAAAUUGAUCUCCCCAUAAAGUACAUGUUGUGUUCUAAUACCGUAAUUACCUAAGGCCUGAUCUUCCAACCUUUGAUGGCAUAAAUAAUCUUUAUUCAUCUAUCUAAUCUUACUGAUUGAAUAUAGGAGGAGUCAAGUGACUUGAGCCUAUCUGCUAGUGUAGCCUGCUACUCAGCUUUCCUAAAUCACAAUUUGUUUUCACAUGGAUAAGUGAUUUAAGUGAAGGGUUAACGCUGUUCUGUCUCUCUUAAUUUAAGAUUUGGAAGACAAUUAUAAUUCAAAAUGCUUCUCCUAGUUGAGACUCCUUAGGAAAAACAUAUACAUAGCCUAGAGCUAGAAGUCCAACUUUGCUUUUAAAUGCAAAUAUUUUAACAAGUAUAACAUACAGAAGCAUGAACUAUCAAUUAUUCCUACUAGGCAUAUGUAAAACAUCUUGUUUAUCACAAAGAGACCAAAUUAGGCUAAAAAUGUAAAAUAAAAAUUUGUAAUUGAAGUGUUGCCUGGUCUCCUUUGAAACUGCCCAUUGUUCUUAUCAGCAGUAGCCUUCAGGUUGCCUUGAUGCAUCUGAAUGGAUCUUUCAAUAAGAAAAGUUGGCAACUGCCAGUAGUGGCCCUCUGUGGCAUUUGUCAUGCAAUAACAUCUGUCGUGCAAUGACUUUUUAUUGAGGAUGGUGUUAGAGCAGUGUGCUAUUUACAAACACUAGCCUGUCAGAUAAAAGUAAAGAAAUUAGUUUCCCCUUACUUUCAUUCUCUAAAUGUCUUAUUGGUAAGUACAGAAUGACAAGGGGAAACAUUUCAAGUAAGGUAGAGUGGAUUUCCUAGCUUACCUACAAACACAAGCAUAUAGCCAAAAGUUCAUGCAAUUUUUUUAGGAAGUUGUAACUUCAGUGUUUGUUUUAUUUUAUUAUUACAUUCCAGCUUUAAUUGCAUUAGGCUGAAGGCAGAUCAACUACAAGUUUCAACAAAUGUUGCUCUUAAUUUUCAGUAUGCUAUUGAUUCAGUCUAAAUCAAGUCAGACUACUGCUUAUCUCCAUGUCCCCAGAAAAUUUUGUUCUGAGACAGUAUAUUCUCUGCCUCCACCCAGAUAUUUCAGAGCUACAGCUGGACUAAGUCCUCAGGGUGAUUUUGUUGCAUUAUUUUGCAGACAUGAUGGCUGUUUUACUAACACUUUUUCUCAAGGGAGAGUUGAUAAUUUUGGACCAGGAAAUAAUUGUCUUAAUCAUACCCAAUGUUUCUUCUUCAGGUUUCUAAAGUGUGUAUUCACGUGCCCAGGAUUAAUAUGAAUGUUAAGUAUCUAUAUGGCACAGUCCCGUGACUCAUAUGCUCUGAAAACAUGCCCUGAUCAUCCAGUUAUCUUUGGAAACUUUCAGUGAGGUUAACAUUGCAUCAGAGCAGUCCAUGUUGUUUGUUUUAAUGUGUGUUGUUUUUGUUUUCUCUUUAAUAUGUCCUCUAAGUUCUUUUGUACCUUGAAGUCUUAAAUCCAUGGCACUUAGUGGCAUGUUC